UGUAACAUGUUUUUGAAUUUCUUCACCUGAAUUUUCAUGUGGAAUAAAAUAACAUACGAGCUUUUUAAUUCUGAUUCAA
rnacentral:snoRNA from 1 species